rnacentral:rRNA from 1 species
UACGUAGGCAGCGAGCGUUGUUCGGAGUUACUGGGCGUAAAGAGCGUGUAGGCGGCCAGACAGGUCCGUUGUGAAAACUCGAGGCUCAACCUCGAGACGCCGAUGGAAACCGUCUGGCUAGAGUCCGGAAGAGGAGAGUGGAAUUCCCGGUGUAGCGGUGAAAUGCGCAGAUAUCGGGAAGAACACCCGUGGCUAAGGCGGCUCUCUAGUACGGUACUGACGCU